rnacentral:tRNA from 1 species
AAUGAGAUAGUUCAGCGGUAGAACGUUCGGCUCUUACUCCGAAUGGACGUAGGUUCGAAUCCUACUCUCAUUC